GGACCCGUAGCUCAGCCAGGAUAGAGCACUGGCCUCCGGAGCCGGUGGUCCCGGGUUCAAAUCCCGGCGGGUCCG
rnacentral:tRNA from 12 species